rnacentral:misc_RNA from 1 species
UCCGUGUUAACCACGGCAGUCUCUUUAGAGUGCCCAACUGAAUGAUGGCAACUAAAGACAAGGGUUGCGCUCGUUGCGGGACUUAACCCAACAUGUCACCACACGAGCUGACGACAGCCAUGCAGCACCUGUCUCUCUGUCGUAUUGCUACGAAAGUACUAUCUCUAGUAUUGUCAGAGGAUGUCAAAUGUAGGUAAGGUUUUUCGCGUUGCUUCGAAUUAAACCACAUGAUCCACUGCUUGUGCGGGCCCCCGUCAAUUCCUUUGAGUUUUAAUCUUGCGACCGUACUUCCCAGGCGGGGUACUUAUUGCGUUAGCUACGGCUCAGCAGGGGUCAAGACCCGCCAAACCUAGUACCCAUCGUUUACAGCGUGGACUAC